CCUGGAAAUACAGGACAUAGCUGGUACUUUUCCUAACUCCUGAUGGACAAGCGUGAGUGAUCUGGGGCUUUGCUCCAGGAGCUGCAGUCCCAAGGCCAUGUGCUGGGGAGAAGACCUUAUCCCAUGGGGCCAAUGUAGGUGGGACUUGAGCUUGUGCUCUCAGUGGUAAAGCAUCUCUGUACUAAAGGGGUGGGGGGUGGGAGAGACCUUCCUAGAUGGACACCUGGAUCUGUGAGCAUGACUGGUCAUGCUUGUCUCUUUGGUUGGAGGAACAAAACCUUCAGUGUAUGCUUGUACCAGAUCAACUUGAAUAAAAACAUAACUGACUUAAAUUUCACCAAAUUUGAAUAUCUGCCUGUUAUGGAAUGGAUACGUGGUGUCCCCAGGAGCUCAUAUGUGAGACAAUGCAAGAAACUUCAGAGGUCAAAUGAUUAGAUUAUGAGAGUUGCAACCUGAUCAGUGGAUCCGUCUGCUGAUGUGGUUUAACUGGCUGUGACUAGAGGAGGUCAGUCUCUAAGGGAAGUGCCUUUGGGGUAUAUAUUUUGUCCCUGAUGAGCAGAGUUCUCUCUCUCUGCUUCCUGAUUGCCAAGUCCUGAGCUGCUUUCUCCCACCACUCUCUUCCACCACGAUUUUCUGCCUCACCUUGGACCCAGAGCUAUGGAGUCAGCCAUCUAGAGACUGGAUCUCUGAAAACAUGAGCCAAAGUAAGCAUUUCCUCCUUUAAGUUGUUCUUCUUGGGUCUUUUGGUCAUAGCAAUGUAAAAGCUGACUGCAACAGUGCC
rnacentral:lncRNA from 1 species